rnacentral:tRNA from 1 species
GCGCUCGUAGCUCAGCUGGAUAGAGCAACGGACUUCGAAUCCGUGUGUCGGGAGUUCAAGUCUCUCCGAGCGCGCCA